rnacentral:sRNA from 1 species
GUAGUAAGUUAGUAGUAGUGAAGUAAUAGUCAUGUAGUAGUAAGUUAGUAGUAGUUGUAAGGUAGU